AGAUGGCGACCGGCGCACGGGUGAGUAACACGUAUCCAACCUGCCGAUAACUCGGGGAUAGCCUUUCGAAAGAAAGAUUAAUACCCGAUGGUAUAAUCAGACCGCAUGGUCUUGUUAUUAAAGAAUUUCGGUUAUCGAUGGGGAUGCGUUCCAUUAGGCAGUUGGUGAGGUAACGGCUCACCAAACCUUCGAUGGAUAGGGGUUCUGAGAGGGAGGUCCCCCACAUUGGAACUGAGACACGGUCCAA
rnacentral:rRNA from 1 species